rnacentral:rRNA from 1 species
CAGCCGUAAACUAUGCUCGCUAGGUGUCAGGCAUGGCGCGACCGUGUCUGGUGCCGCAGGGAAGCCGUGAAGCGAGCCACCUGGGAAGUACGGCCGCAAGGCUGAAACUUAAAGGAAUUGGCGGGGGGAGCACAACAACGGGUGGAGCCUGCGGUUUAAUUGGACUCAACGCCGGGAAGCUCACCGGAUAAGACAGCGGAAUGAUUGCCGGGCUGAAGACUCUGCAUGACUAGCUGAGAGGUGGUGCAUGGCGUAGACGUCU